rnacentral:lncRNA from 1 species
AGGUAUGCUAUUUCCUCUCUCUACUUUGCUUGUUGCUUCGCUUCAUUCUCAAUCCUCAAAUCCAACCCAACCCCACCUGCGAAAAGAUCGACCCUCGCUGCCCAAAGUGGGUAAUGUUGAGGUUGCCUUGAAAGAGUUCGAUGAAAUGCUUCACUCGCAUCUCCUGCCUUCUGUUGUCCAGUUCACUCAGAUCUUGAACCAACUUGUCAAAUUGAAUCAAUUUGAAGCAGUCCUCUCUUUGAAUUCACAAAUGGGUCUCCGUGGAAUUGUUCCUGAUAGUUAUACUCUUAGCAUUGUCAUCAAUUGCUACUCUCAUUUGAACAAAAUGGGGUAUGCCUUGUCUGUCUUGGGCCACUACUUCAAAUUGGGUCUUCAACCAGAUGUUGCAACCUUCACGGCUCUAAUCCACGGAUUUGUUCUCCAAAAUCGAGCGGCUGAUGCAGAAAGAGUUUUCAACAAAAUGGUGGAGGGAGGUUAUUGUCAGCCCAAUGUGGUUACUUUCAGCACAUUAAUAAAGGGCUUUUGCAUGAUUGGAAACUACACUGCGGCUAUUCAAUUACUCCGGAAUAUGGAAGAAAAUGGAUGCGAGCCUAACACAGUGUGCUAUAACACCAUCAUCGACAGCCUGGGCAAACAUACACUAGUUGACCAAGCAAAGAACCUCUUCUCGGAGAUGAUUGGUAGAGGUAUUGCUCCCAACGUUGUUACCUACACCUCAUUGAUUCAAGGAGUUUGCAAUAUAGGCCACUGGAAAGAAGCUACCACGUUGUUGUAUGAAAUGGUGAGUAAAGAUAUCUUCCCAGAUGUUUUCACCUUCAAUAUCCUCGUUGAUGCAUUUUGCAAAGAAGGUAAGGUUGUGGAAGCCAAAAGUCUGAUUCAGACGAUGAUUUAAAGAGGAAUUGAACCUGACAUGAUUACAUACAGUUCCCUUAUGGAUAAUCAUUGUUUGCGAGGAGAAAUGGACAAGGCCAAACGAGUUUUUGAUCUAAUGGUUACCAAGGGCUCCAUGGUUAAUGUUCAGAGAUGUAACAUUUUGAUUAACGGAUAUUGUAAGAGUGAAAAGAUCGAAAAGGCUUACGAGAGUUUCAAGGAAAUGCCUCUCAGGGGACUUGUUCCUGACGCCGUUACUUAUUCCACCCUUAUUGGUGCUUUUUGUAAAGCGGGGAGACUACAAGAAGCAGAGAAGUUGUUAUGCGAGAUGGAGGCUUCCGGCCAACUUCCAAAUGUUCGAACUUACACAGUUGUACUUAAAGCCCUAUGUAGCAACCAACAACUUUCUAAGGCAAAUGAACUGCUGAGAGAGAUGAAGGACAAGAAUUUGGAACUGGAUAUUGUAAUUUGCAAUAUCUUCAUUGAAGCUUUAUUUAAAGCUGGGAAAAUUGAAUCUGCAAUGAAGGUCUUCUCUGGUUUGUGGUCAAAAGUUGUUCAGCCUGAUGUGGUGACAUACAAUAUAAUGAUCAAGGGACUUUGUAAUGUUGGCCUCUUAGAUGAAGCAGUGAAGAUAUAUUGGCCUCCAUGAGUUGAUGGAGUUCAAAGAUUUCGAAAAUAGUGACAAAGAGAAGAUAUUGAAGUUUCCUAUUCGGAAGGUCUCUUGCCAUAUAGGUUGGGAUUUCCUUCUAUAUUUCUCAUCUUUUAUAUGGAUAGUUCUAGAUAUAUUUGGAAUGUAUUUUCAAAUAUAUUUUCAGUUUAUUAGGAUAUAGGCUGUUUAAGGUUAGUUCCUUUUCUAUACAAUUUAGAUUUAGAAAGUUGUUAUGGCAUUGAGGUGAUUCGGAUCUAGAUGGAAAAGAGGGCAGCUAGGUUCGGCUGCAAGGGUUUGGUUUAUAUAUAUACAUAUAUAUAUAUAUAUAUAUCUCUAGGUACGGCUGUAUACAUAUGUGGAGAUAGAGGUGCUAGGGUUUAACAUAUAUACAUAGAUAUAUAUAUGGUAGGGAGAAGAGAAAAACAUUGAGAAGAAAAUAUAGGUUUCGUGAAUGUGUGCUCUAGAGUUUUUGUGUGAACAAUAUUCAGAUCAUAGUAUAGUCCUGUGUGGCAAGAGACCUUCGUGACUCCAUUGAAGACCUUCGUGGCUUCAAGUCCUUCGUGGCAUUUCGAGACCUUCGUGGCUCCAUUCAAGACCUUCGUGGCUUCAAGUCCUUCGUGGCAUUUCAAGACCUUCGUGGCUUCAACGACCUCCGUGGCGUUAUCAUCCUUCGUGGCAACAAAGACCUUUGUGGCUUUGUAUUACACUUGACCGUGUUCUUCAAGUGUGAAGUAAUUUUACUUUUGAGAAUAUAUUACUUUUGAUCAUGUGUUGUCAAGUAAUUGUAAUCUUCUAUUCAAUAGUAAAGUAAAGUUCUUCUAUAUAAUCCGCUGCUUAUCUCAUAAUCGUUCUAUCUAGUAUUUUCAAGCAGAAAAAUUGUUUAGAGAAAUGGGAGAGAGAGGCUGUUCUGCUGAUGGCAGCACCUAUAACACUUUUAUCCGAGGGUUGUUAAAUAACAAUGAGGCAUCAAGGGCUACAAGGCUUAUUCCAGUAAUGCAUAAGAUGG